rnacentral:rRNA from 1 species
AUUCAACGCUGGCGGCAGGCCUAACACAUGCAAGUCGAGCGGAUGAAGGGAGCUUGCUCCUGGAUUCAGCGGCGGACGGGUGAGUAAUGCCUAGGAAGCUGCCUGGUAGGGUGGGAUAACGUCCGGAAACGGGCGCUAAUACCGCAUACUGCCUGAGGGAGAAAGUGGGGGAUCUUCGGACCUCACGCUAUCAGAUGAGCCUAGGUCGGAUUAGCUAGUUGGUGGGGUAAAGGCCUACCAAGGCGACGAUCCGUAACUGGUCUGGGAGGCUGAUCAGUCACACGAGGACUGAGACACGGUCCCGGCUCCUACGGGAGGCACCAGCGGGGAACAUUGGCCACUGGCCGCAAGCCUGACCCACGCCUGCCCCGCCUGUGAAGAAGGCCCUCGGAUUGUAAAGCAUUUUACGUUGGGCGGAAGGGCAGUAACUUACUCCCUUGCCGUUCCGCCGUUAGCCACAGAAUAAGCACCCGCUACCCUCGUC